rnacentral:rRNA from 1 species
GACGAACGCUGGCGGCGUGCUUAACACAUGCAAGUCGAACGGAAAGGCCCUUCGGGGUACUCGAGUGGCGAACGGGUGAGUAACACGUGGGUAACCUGCCCUCGGCUUCGGGAUAACUCCGGGAAACCGGGGCUAAUACCGGAUAUUCAUUGUCUGCCGCAUGGUGGGUGGUGGAAAGUUUUUUCGGCUGGGGAUGGGCCCGCGGCCUAUCAGCUUGUUGGUGGGGUGAUGGCCUACCAAGGCGUCGACGGGUAGCCGGCCUGAGAGGGCGACCGGCCACACUGGGACUGAGACACGGCCCAGACUCCUACGGGAGGCAGCAGUGGGGAAUAUUGCGCAAUGGGCGGAAGCCUGACGCAGCGACGCCGCGUGAGGGAUGACGGCCUUCGGGCUGUAAACCUCUUUCAGCAGGGACGAAUGUAGACGGUACCUGUAGAAGAAGCACCGGCCAACUACGUGCCAGCCGCCGCGGUAAUAC